AGUGAACGCUGGCGGCAGGCCUAACACAUGCAAGUCGAACGGCAGCACAGGAGAGCUUGCUCUCUGGGUGGCGAGUGGCGGACGGGUGAGGAAUACAUCGGAAUCUACCUUUUCGUGGGGGAUAACGUAGGGAAACUUACGCUAAUACCGCAUACGACCUUAGGGUGAAAGCGGAGGACCUUCGGGCUUCGCGCGGAUAGAUGAGCCGAUGUCGGAUUAGCUAGUUGGCGGGGUAAAGGCCCACCGAGGCGACGAUCCGUAGCUGGUCUGAGAGGAUGAUCAGCCACACUGGAACUGAGACACGGUCCAGACUCCUACGGGAGGCAGCAGUGGGGAAUAUUGGACAAUGGGCGCAAGCCUGAUCCAGCCAUGCCGCGUGGGUGAAGAAGGCCUUCGGGUUGUAAAGCCCUUUUGUAGGGAAAGAAAAGCAGCCGGUUAAUACCCGGUUGUUCUGACGGUACCCAAAGAAUAAGCACCGGCUAACUUCGUGCCAGCAGCCGCGGUAA
rnacentral:rRNA from 1 species